GUUAAAGCCUGUAAGACAGAUAGGUGUUAAAGACCUUGCCUCUGAAAGUCUCAGUGACCUUAAAGAAGUGCAAAGCCAAGGACGAGGCGUUGUCAUGUUUGCAGAGGCCAUGCAUCAUGGAGGGGAGAGCCCCGUGGAGCUUUGGAGAAAGAGGUCUUCUGGGAAGUCUGCGCCGGGCAAGAGCAGCAUGGCAAAUCUGGUGCCCCAGGGUGUUGAAGAGCACAGGCAACCUUUGACAAGAAAAGGGAGCCAAGACUAUGUAUAUUCCAGCGGCGCUGUGAGCCGGGAGGACGGUACAUGGGCACUGUGCCACAUCCAGGGAUUCCAGUCCCCAGGCAGAGCGUUUCCGCUAUCCAAAGAGGAAUUUGAAGAUGACCCUUCCUACAAACUGCCGCCGCCUCCGCCUCCUUCUCCGUGCCUACAGGAGGACUAUAAUGAGAUUUCUUCAGGGGGAAACCCCUGCCUUUGAAGGACACAGCAAUCAAGACAGUCUUCUCCAUUAACCCUUCAUCAAACAAUGGCUGAGGGAACCUGUCCUGACACUGGCCUGCUCCUGUCUCAGCUCCUGUCUCGCCUUGUGUUUAGGCCCCUUCCACUGUGUUUCCCUUGCCACAGGGCAGGUGACGGAAGUGGCCCGGCAGUUUCUGCAGUCUGUAAACAUUUGGGACAGGUACAAAUCUCUGAGUUCUGAAAAUUAAAGAAGAGCUUCUCACCCCCUCUCCUGUUUCUGUGCUGCGCGUUGGCUUCCAAAGAGGAGCUAGUCUGUUGAGCAGCUCGAAUACGCGCCAUGGCCUGGCUGUAGCUGCCUUAAUAUCCUGUGUCAAGAAAAUCGCAUUUACCCACCCGCUCCAUAGGGCAGACUGGCACAGUAGG
rnacentral:lncRNA from 1 species